rnacentral:rRNA from 1 species
UACGUAGGGCGCAAGCGUUAAUCGGAAUUACUGGGCGUAAAGCGUGCGCAGGCGGUUUUGUAAGUCUGUCGUGAAAGCCCCGGGCUCAACCUGGGAAUUGCAUUGGAGACUGCAAGGCUAGAAUCUGGCAGAGGGGGGUAGAAUUCCACGUGUAGCAGUGAAAUGCGUAGAGAUGUGGAGGAACACCGAUGGCGAAGGCAGCCCCCUGGGUCAAGAUUGACGCUCAUGCACGAAAGCGUGGGGAGCAAACAGG